rnacentral:lncRNA from 1 species
UUCAUGUGGAUAUGGAGGUGAGCUGUAUUUAUUGUUUGUAUAAGAGUUUUGCCCCUAACUGUUAGAAGUGAGGCCAAAUGUCUGUUGUGUUUAUGUUGCAGAGUCAGAAAUUGGAUCGCCCCGCUCUUGACACUUCUGUUAUAGACAGCCCAUCUACGCCUUUGUUUUCCUCCUCCUCUGACAGCAACAUCAGCUCUCCAACACCCUUCAAUUCUCCAAAACCUAAACACAAAGAUUGUUCUGGCGCCACUAAAAAGCUUCGGCUCAUUAGUCCAGAGUAUGUCAUAUACACUGACACAGAACUAGAACUAGCAAGAAGUGCUUACUUUGAAAAGCAGCGUGCUGGACAACACGAAGACUACACCAUGCCAAAAGACUUGCGCUGUAGACUCAUUAGGAAUACAGUAACAGGCAUGAUUGCUAUGAAAAGAGCGUCCGAGGAUGAUUUUAAGUACCCAGGCUCCCAUGAACUGACUGCCAUGGCUAAGCGUCUAGUAGAAUACUACCCAAUGCUGUGAGACAAGUCUACGUCCAAUACACCUGAAUGGGAAAUGGUGAAGAAGCAGUUGAUGAAAAGGGUUCAGAAUGUGACAACUCCAAAAAAGAAGCAAGGUCCAACCCCAUCAAGAAAAGGACCUAGAAGCCUCAAAUUCCAGAGCAGCCAGGCGACGUGCACUGAAGAGAGUGAUGAACCUUUCUCCUCCCCUGCUUCAGUCUCUUCAGCUGCUUCAUCAGUCGCCUCGUCGUCUUCCUCCACUGUGAUCUUAGAGAAGUCAACUCCUUCUACAAGUACUUCCCAAGAGGUGGAUCUCUUUAGUGCUAGAGAGAGCCCACAGAGCCAAGCGAGACACUAUAAAACUCUGCAGGAUUUGUACAAAACUAAGAACAAACCCAACAAGGAAGAUGUAUCCCAGCUGCUGGAAUUGGAGUUCCAAUCUAGACGAGCUUUCAUUGACUCUGAUGUGAUGAAGGAACAGGACAGGCCUAUGAAGAUACUGCAGGCUUAUCCAUGUUUUAAAGAACUUGGCCAUAUCAUCGAUGAACUCCAGCGAAUCCUUGAUAAAGGAAACCCCUUCUUCACAAUGGAGCUGAAGAAACGUUGGCUGAGAUUUUUUAACCAGGCACAGUUUUAUGGGGUGUUCAAAAAAAUAAUAGGACCACCACUGCAGGACCAAGUAAAGAAUGCACUUGCUGUCCUGAAAGUACUGCCUCAGAUGUUCCCUUCGCAUGUAGCUCUGCCGAAGAGGUUGGGACACCCAAGUGAUGCUUUGAUUCACAUUUUGAAGGUAAGGUAAAUAUACAUAUACACACACACACACACACACAUAUAAUUAGAAUAUCAUGAAAAAGUUCAUUUAUUUCUGUAAUUCAACUUAAAAUGUGAAACUAAUAUGUGAUAUAGACUCAACAUGCAAAGUGACAUAAUGUCAAGCCUUUAUUUUUUAUAAUUUGGAUGAUUAUGGCUUACAGUCUAUUUUCAAAAUAAUCAAAUUUUAUGAGAUAUUUAAUUUGGGGUUUUUACAAGCUGAGCCAUAAUAAUCAAAAUUAUAACAAAUAAAGGCUAUACAUAUCUCA